rnacentral:rRNA from 1 species
AGAGUUGAUUAUGGCUCAGGAUGAACGCUAGCGACAGGCUAACACAUGCAAGUCGAGGGGUAACAGGGUAGCAAUACCGCUGACGACCGGCGCACGGGUGAGUAACGCGUAUGCAACCUGCCUAUAACUGGGGAAUAGCUCCCUGAAAGGGGAAUUAACACCGCAUAACACUAUUGAUUCGCAUGGAUUAGUAGUUAAAUGUAGCGAUACAGGUUAUAGGUGGGCAUGCGUGACAUUAGCUAGUUGGUGAGGUAACGGCUCACCAAGGCUACGAUGUCUAGGGGUUCUGAGAGGAAGGUCCCCCACACUGGUACUGAGACACGGACCAGACUCCUACGGGAGGCAGCAGUGAGGAAUAUUGGUCAAUGGGCGCAAGCCUGAACCAGCCCAUGUCGCGUGCAGGAAGACUGCCCUAUGGGUUGUAAACUGUCCUUUUCCCCGGGAAGAAUAACGCCCCUCGUGGAGGGGUGAUGCCGGGUACCGGGGGAAUAAGGAUCGGCUAACUCCGUGCCAGCCGCCGC